GAUAAAGAACGUAGUGAAAUGCGAUACUUGGUGUGAAUUGCAGAAUCCCGUGAACCAUCGAGUCUUUGAACGCAAGUUGCGCCCGAAGCCAUUAGGCCGAGGGCACGCCUGCCUGGGCGUCACACGUCGUUGCCCCCCCAUCUACUCCUUCGGGAUUGCGGGGGGCGGAUGAUGGCCUCCCGUGCGCCUCGUCGCGCGGUUGGCAUAAAUGCCAAGUCCUCGGCGACGCACGCCACGACAAUCGGUGGUUGCGAAACCUCGGUUGCCCGUCGUGUGCGGUCGUCGCGCAUCGAGGGCUCGAAAAAAUUGCCGGGCUCCGGCUCGGCUUUCAACGCGACCCCAGGUCAGGCGGGGUUACCCGCUGAAUUUAAGCAUAUCAAUAAGCGGAGGA
rnacentral:misc_RNA from 1 species